UUAUUUAUUAUUUAUUAUUUAUUAUUUAUUAUUUAUUAUUUAUUAUUUAUUAUUUAUUAUUUAUUAUUUAUUAUUUAUUAUUUAUUAUUUAUUUCGGUAAUAUAUUCUGUUAAGUUAAGUUCAGUUAAGUUCAGUUCAGUUCAGUUCAGUUCAGUUCAGUUCAGGAGCAUUCAGUUCAGUUCAGUUCAGUUCAGUUCAGUUCAGUUCAGUUCAGUUCAGGAGCAUUCAGUUUAGUUCAGUUCAGUUCAGUUCAGUUCAGUUCAGUUCAGUUCAGCUCUAAAGAACAGGGCCUUACUAUGGUAGAUUAUAGUUUUUUUUUUUUGUUUUGUGUCAUCGGCUUGACGUUAGAAAAGACGUUUAUGGUAUUCUAGAUGCAUAUCCCGUGGCUCCCUUGGUAUCACUGCAUCAUCUUGUUGAUGCAAAGCCAUUGUUUCCAGGUGAAAAUCAGGUGGACUCUCUAAGAAGGUUAUUGCAGUGAUACCAAGGGAGGUUCCCUUCGGCCUUUGGACUCGAUGAUGAAACGUAUUUGUAUAUCGGGUUCAUUGUUUGUAUAAUGGUUAAGGCCAUUCGGUGAGAUCAACAACAAAUAUUGCUUUGAGUCUGGUGGUGACUGCUUGGACGAAGUCAAGGAGAUUGGUGAAGGUAAAACUGUAAGCACGUAUAAGGGGCCGCUGCUGCUCUGUCGGUGGAGAGUAUUGCAGUAUCUCCUUUAAAGACCGGUCCUGAAAGUGGAUGAAGGACUCCAGGUUCUAUUUUAGGCUAGUAAUACCACAUCAAAGCCAAAGACUCCAAGGCUGGGAAGUAGCACCUGUAAGGCUAUAACUAUGGGAUGCAGAACUUGACUCUCCACUGCUCCAAAGCUUCAAGACUAUAUAAAGUAAGAGAUUUUAGAUGUGGUAACUGAGUAACUGACUAAAAUGAGGGAUAAUCUUUCAAUUUUUGCACUGCGCAAUAGUAAUAGAAACAAGGCUAGACCAUUUAUCUAACCACAUACAGGGCAAUCCAUCUCCAACUUAACACAUAAUGUGUAGCAUUUUGAGACUUAUUUGUAGUUGCAACAGAUUUACCUAAUUCGUGGUUCGCUAGGGGUACGAGUUUGGGUUCGCGAUUCGUGGGUUGGCUGGUUUUAGGUUCGCAAGAGGGGUUUGAAAAACUUUUUUUCCAGGUCUUGGUCCGAUGUACCAUCAGUACCACAUUCCAGAUAAUAGUUCAGGGUAGAAGGACGGGGUUGAGUAAAUCUGGUGACUGUUUUAGAGAACUUUGGUGCCUAUAAUUUGUUAUGUUAUAUCUUAAGAACAUUACAGUACCUUGUAAAAAAAAUUGAAGAAAGAAGUUGCAGUUUGUGUAAUCGUGAGUUGGAUGAGGUAGAAUUAAUUUCAUUCUUCUGAUUUUAAUGGGAAUUAUAGUUGCAAACUUCCUUUAAUAUCAAUUGUAGCUUAGAUAAUUUUUGGUCCUCGAAUGCGAUUAAUGAUUCAUGCAAAGCUCGCCUCUUAUAUGUGUAUCGCUCAUGGUUAUCUUAGCUUUGCAGUUUCUGUGGGUGUUCUGUUCCGAGGGAAACCAGUAGCUGCUGAUGUGGUGUUUGCAACCUAUGCAAUGGUGGUGUGAAGUUUGUUCGUGACAAUGACCGCAAUAGGAAAAUCAGAUAUGAAGCUCUACAAAGUGAAGCAGGAAAGAAUUUGUUAAGGAGAUCAGGAAGAGCUCCUGAUGAUAUAUCAAGUGUUGUCCUGGUUGAAAAAGAGCGGAACACCCUAGGUACCGUGAAUAAUAACCAAAUUGUGAAACGUGGAUACUAGUUACGGGAGGAAAGAUAGGGAGGAAAGAUAGGGACAGAGAGCAUGGGACAAACAUGAGUUUUUGUCUUUUGGUUCGCAGCAGGAAAUGAAUGCUUUAAAUCUAAAGGUUUUCAAAACUCCAAGGGAGGGGCCCUUUACCAAAGAGGAGUUGGAUGAAGUUCGAGACAAGUGGAUAAUUACUCCAACGAUUGUGAACUACCCUCAGUGUAAAAAAUAGAGCAGUCUUGUAGUUAUUCGUGACUCUUACAUUAUUUUGUUAUUUAUCGAUUUAAUUAAUUAAAUUUGAAUUAAUUCGGUAAUAUUAUUGGAAAUUUGAAAUUUAUAUCA